UGGGGAAUAUUGCACAAUGGGCGCAAGCCUGAUGCAGCCAUGCCGCGUGUGUGAAGAAGGCCUUCGGGUUGUAAAGCACUUUCAGCGAGGAGGAAGGUGGUGGACUUAAUACGUUCAUCAAUUGACGUUACUCGCAGAAGAAGCACCGGCUAACUCCGUGCCAGCAGCCGCGGUAAUACGGAGGGUGCAAGCGUUAAUCGGAAUUACUGGGCGUAAAGCGCACGCAGGCGGUUUGUUAAGUCAGAUGUGAAAUCCCCGGGCUCAACCUGGGAACUGCAUUUGAAACUGGCAAGCUAGAGUCUCGUAGAGGGGGGUAGAAUUCCAGGUGUAGCGGUGAAAUGCGUAGAGAUCUGGAGGAAUACCGGUGGCGAAGGCGGCCCCCUGGACGAAGACUGACGCUCAGGUGCGAAAGCGUGGGGAGCAAACAGGAUUAGAUGCCCUGGUAGUCCACGCUGUAAACGAUGUCGAUUUGGAGGUUGUGCCCUUGAGGCGUGGCUUCCGGAGCUAACGCGUUAAAUCGACCGCCUGGGGGAGUACGGCCGCAAGGUUAAAAACUUAAAUGAAUUGACGGGGGUCAUAGCUGUUUCCU
rnacentral:rRNA from 1 species